rnacentral:rRNA from 1 species
AACGUACGCUGGCGGCACGCCUAACACAUGCAAGUCGAACGAAGUAGCAAUACUUAGUGGCAGACGGGUGAGUAACAUGUGGGUAUCUGCCCUUUGGCCUGGAAUAACACGAGGAAACUUGUGCUAAUACCGGAUAAGUCUUUACGGAGAAAGCUUUAUGCACCAUUGGAUGAGCCCGCACUUGAUUAGUUUGUUGGUGGGGUAAUGGCCUACCAAGACUGUGAUCAAUAGCUGAUUUGAGAGGAUGAUCAGCCACAUUGGGACUGAGGCACGGCCCAAACUCCUACGGGAGGCAGCAGUGGGGAAUCUUGCACAAUGGAGGAAACUCUGAUGCAGCGAUGCCGCGUGAGUGAAGAAGGCCCUUGGGUUGUAAAGCUCUUUCGUCGGGGAAGAAAAUGACUGUACCCGAAUAAGAAGGUCCGGCUAACUUCGUGCCAGCAGCCGCGGUAAUACGAAGGGACCUAGCGUAGUUCGGAAUUACUGGGCUUAAAGAGUUCGUAGGUGGUUGAAAAAGUUAGUGGUGAAAUCCCAGAGCUUAACUCUGGAACUGCCAUUAAAACUUUUCAGCUAGAGUAUGAUAGAGGAAAGCAGAAUUUCUAGUGUAGAGGUGAAAUUCGUAGAUAUUAGAAAGAAUACCAAUUGCGAAGGCAGCUUUCUGGAUCAUUACUGACACUGAGGAACGAAAGCAUGGGUAGCGAAGAGGAUUAGAUACCCUCGUAGUCCAUGCCGUAAACGAUGUGUGUUAGACGUUGGAAAUUUAUUUUCAGUGUCGCAGCGAAAGCGAUAAACACACCGCCUGGGGAGUACGACCGCAAGGUUAAAACUCAAAUGAAUUGACGGGGACCCGCACAAGUAGUGGAGCAUGUGGUUUAAUUCGAAGAUACGCGCAGAACCUUACCAACACUUGACAUGUUCGUCGCGACUUUAAGAGAUUAAAGUUUUCGGUUCGGCCGGACGAAACACAGGUGCUGCAUGGCUGUCGUCAGCUCGUGUCGUGAGAUGUUGGGUUAAGUCCCGCAACGAGCGCAACCCUCACUUUUAGUUGCCAUCAUUUAGUUGGGCACUCUGAAAGAACUGCCAGUGAUAAGCUGGAGGAAGGUGGGGAUGACGUCAAGUCCUCAUGGCCCUUACGUGUUGGGCUACACACGUGCUACAAUGGUAUCUACAACAGGAAGCAAGACUGCGAGGUCAAGCAAAUCCCUAAAAGAUACCUCAGUUCGGAUUGCGCUCUGCAACUCGAGUGCAUGAAGCUGGAAUUACUAGUAAUCGUGGAUCAGCGUGCCACGGUGAAUGCGUUCCCGGGUCU